GUAUGGGUGUGGAUGGUGUUCAGCACCAAGGACAGGUGUGCUUACUUGUGUGUGGAUGGUGUUCAGCACCAAGCACACAUGUGUGUGG
rnacentral:pre_miRNA from 1 species